AUUGAACGCUGGCGGCAGGCCUAACACAUGCAAGUCGAGCGGUAACGCAGGGCAACCUGGCGACGAGCGGCGGACGGGUGAGUAACGCGUAGGAAUCUACCUGGUAGUGGGGGAUAGCCCGGGGAAACUCGGAUUAAUACCGCAUACGCCUCAAGGGGGAAAGUGGGGGAUCUUCGGACCUCACGCUAUCAGAAGAGCCUGCGUUGGAUUAGCUAGUUGGUAGGGUAAAAGCCUACCAAGGCGAAGAUCCAUAGUUGGUCUGAGAGGAUGAUCAGACACACGGAAACGAAGCCACGGUCCAGACUGCUACGGGAGGCAGGAGUGGGGAAUAUUGGACAAUGGGGGCAACCCUGAUCCAGCCAUGCCGAGUGUGUGACGAAGGCCUUCGGGUUGUAAAGCACUUUAAGCAGGGAGGAAGACUUCACGUUUAAUAACCGUGGGGAUUGACGUUACCAGCAGAAUAAGCACCGGCUAACUCCAUGCCAGCAGACGCGGUAAAAC
rnacentral:rRNA from 1 species